rnacentral:lncRNA from 1 species
UUUGAUUAAGAUAAAUAAAUUAAAUUUAUUCGAUAGAUGCAAAUUAUACCAUAUUAUUAUAAUAAAGAAUAAUUAAUAAGAAGAAGAAAGAUGUAUCUUAUUGAACCGAAGAUAUAUCUAAUUGAGGAGAGUGAGUAUGAGAAGAUUACUAUUAUAAUUGUUGUGUAGAAUAUUUUAAGAGUGUGUUAAUCGUCUAAUGGGACAAC